rnacentral:rRNA from 1 species
CGAGUCUGCCUUGAAGAUCGGAGUGCUUGCACUCUGUGAAACAAGAUACAGGCUAGCGGCGGACGGGUGAGUAACACGUGGGUAACCUGCCCAAGAGAUCGGGAUAACACCUGGAAACAGAUGCUAAUACCGGAUAACAACAGAUGAUGCCUAUCAACUGUUUAAAAGAUGGUUCUGCUAUCACUCUUGGAUGGACCUGCGGUGCAUUAGCUAGUUGGUAGGGUAACGGCCUACCAAGGCGAUGAUGCAUAGCCGAGUUGAGAGACUGAUCGGCCACAUUGGGGACUGAGACGCGGCCCAAACUCCUACGGGAGGCAGCAGUAGGGAAUCCUCCACAAUGGACGCAAGUCUGAUGGAGCAACGCCGCGUGAGUGAAGAAGGGUUUCGGCUCGUAAAGCUCUGUUGUUGGUGAA